UAGGGAAUCUUCCGCAAUGGACGCAAGUCUGACGGAGCAACGCCGCGUGAGCGAAGAAGGCCUUCGGGUCGUAAAGCUCUGUUGUUAGGGAAGAACAAGUACGAGAGUAACUGCUCGUACCUUGACGGUACCUAACCAGAAAGCCACGGCUAACUACGUG
rnacentral:rRNA from 1 species